UACGUAGGGGGCAAGCGUUGUCCGGAAUCAUUGGGCGUAAAGCGCGUGUAGGCGGUCCGGUAAGUCCGCUGUGAAAGUCGGGGGCUCAACCCUCGGAUGCCGGUGGAUACUGUCGGGCUUGAGUACGGAAGAGGCGAGUGGAAUUCCUGGUGUAGCGGUGGAAUGCGCAGAUAUCAGGAGGAACACCAACAGCGAAGGCAGCUCGCUGGGACGGUACUGACGCUGAGGCGCGAAAGCGUGGGGAGCGAACAGG
rnacentral:rRNA from 1 species